CAGGAUGAACGCAGCGGCAGGCUUAACACAUGCAAGCGAGGGGCAGCGAGGAGUAGCAAUACUCUGUCGGCGACCGGCGAAAGGGUGAGUAACGCGUGAGCAACAUGCCCGUAGGUGAGGAUAGUCAUUGGAAACGAUGCGUAAUACUCCGUAACAACAGGGACCGCAUGAUCCUUGUUUAAUAGAUUCAUUGCCUACGGAUUGGCUCGCGUACCAUUAGGUAGUUGGUGAGGUAACGGCCCACCAAGCCGACGAUGGUUAGGGGUCUGAGAGGAAGGUCCCCCACAUUGGAACUGAGACACGGCCAGACUCCUACGGGAGGCAGCAGUGAGGAAUAUUGGUCAAUGGCCGAAAGGCUGAACCAGCCAUGCCGCGUGCGGGAAGACGGCCCUAUGGGGUUGUAAACCGCUUUUGUGUGGGAGCAAUAAGCAUCACGUGUGAUGCGAUGAGAGUACCAUACGAAUAAGCAUCGGCUAACUCCGUGCCAGCAGCUGC
rnacentral:rRNA from 1 species